GAACAAUCCAGAGGGCCAUUAGUAAGGCUAAAACAAGGUUGAAAGAGGUGUGACUAUACAGUGCUUAAUCAGACCUGGUUUAAUCUGGAAUGCUGCUUGCCCAUCCCACUGUGUACUGAUGCAAUGGACCUUCCAGUCUAUUACUUCACAGUGGAGUAUUUGCUUGGAAGCCUGGAAACUUGGAUUUAAGGAUGAUCAGCACAGUGAUCUGGCAGCUAAGCACCACAGAGAUGCUCAUUCACUCUCCAGCUGUGGGAUGAGGAAGAGAAGUGGAAAAAUGC